UGAGUAAUACGUGAGAAUCUGCCCUUAGGAGAAGAAUAACUGCUGGAAACGGUUGCUAAAUCUUCAUAUGUCGAGAGAUGAAAUAGCUUAAGCUGCCUAAGGAUGAGCUCACGCCUGAUUAGCUUGUUGGUGAGGUAAUGGCUCACCAAGGCCACGAUCAGUAGCUGGUUUGAGAGAACGACCAGCCACACUGGGACUGAGACACGGCCCAGACUCCUCCGGGAGGCAGCAGUGAGGAAUUUUCCGCAAUGGGCGAAAGCCUGACGGAGCAAUACCGCGUGAGGGAUGAAGGAUUUUGGUCUGUAAACCUCUUUUCUCAAGAAAGAAGUUCUGACGGUACUUGAGGAAUAAGCAUCGGCUAACUCCGUGCCAGCAGCCGCGGUAAUACGGGGGAUGCAAGCGUUAUCCGGAAUGAUUGGGCGUAAAGCGCCUGUAGGUUGUUUAUUAAGUCCGUUGUUAAAGCCUAGGGCUCAACCCUAGAAAAGCAAUGGAAACUAGUAGACUAGAGUAUGGCAGGGGUAGAGGGAAUUUCUAGUGUAGCGGUGAAAUGCGUAGAUAUUAGAAAGAACACCGGUGGCGAAAGCGCUCUACUGGACCAUUACUGACACUCAGAGGCGAAAGCUAGGGUAGCAAAAGGGAUUAGAUACCCCUGUAGUCCUAGCCGUAAACGAUGGAUACUAGAUGUUGUGCAUUAUGUACAGUAUCGUAGCUAACGCGUUAAGUAUCCCGCCUGGGGAGUACGCUCGCAAGGGUGAAACUCAAAGGAAUUGACGG
rnacentral:rRNA from 1 species